rnacentral:lncRNA from 1 species
AUGUCACGGCCCGCGGGCGCCAUUUUGUGCAGGCCGCGCGAGGGCCGGGGCUGGGGAGCAGGAGCGGGGCUGGGGCACGGGGGCGGCGUUGGCGGGGGCCCUGCGGUCCCCCCCGGGCCUUCCCCUGCGCCACGGGGCCACAGCGGGCAGCGGGGCCGACCCCCGCCCACCCCCAGGUGUGUUUCCACCCGGGGGCUGCAGCGGAAGCAGGGACGGCGGCUCGGCCAUGCUGCUCAGCUCAGCUCCCAGUGCUCAGCUCCCCGUCACCACACCAGUCAUCACCACACCAGUCAUCACCACACCAGUCAUCACCACACCAGUCAUCACCACACCAGUCACUCCUUUUCGCACAGCCCCUUCCCCGCUGCACGGCUCCCUCCUCGCCGUGCGGCUCCCUGCCCGUUGCGUAGCCCCGGCCCUGCUGCACGGCGCCAUCCCCGCUGCAUGGCUCGCUCCACGCUGCGUGGCUUCCCCAUCGCACAGCUCCUGAUGGAAGGUUCCCUUCCUUUUCCACAGCUCCCCAUUGCACGUCACAUUCCCCAGUGCACGGCUCCCCAGUGCACAUUUCCCCAUUGCACAGCUCCCCUUUGCAGGUCACCUUCCCCAGUGCACAGCUCCCCAUUGCACGGCUCCCCAGUGCACUUUUCCCCAUUGCACGGCUCCCUCGUGCACAGUUCCGCAUUGCACAGCUCCCCAUUGCAGUUCCGCAUUGCACGGAUCUGCUUUGCACAUCUCCCUUCCCGUUGCACGGCCCCACGUUGCACGGCCCCACGUUGCACGGCUCCCCAUGGCACAGCUCCCCAUGGCACAACUCCCUUCCCAUUGCACAGCUUCGCAGUGCACAGGUCCGUGUUGCACAGCUCCACGUUGCACAGCUCCCCGUGUCACAGCCCCCCGGUGCAGCGAUGCUGCCGGGGGGCCCCGGCCACCUCCCCCCCGGGAGGGCUCGCAGCUGCCAUGCCCACGUGUCGCCCUGCAGCUGCACCCGCUCCCCACCACCCCGGCCCUGCCGCCUUCAUUCUCCUUUCUGUACUCACCAUCUGUCACUGCCUUCCCUCGGUCCCCAGCCACCGCACGCUGCAGGGAUUAACCCCCCCGACCCAGGGGGAGCAAGGGGGGGGCUCUGGUGGCACUGGGGUGCUGCUGGCCCCAACAUCCCUGCGGUGGCAGGGACAGGGUGCACGGCAUGGGGACAGACCCACGACAGCCAUGGGGAUGUGCACGGGGCAGGACGUUCCUCUGCCCCUCUGGUUUGUGCAGGGUCCCCCGUCCCGGGGCGGGGGGACACGGCCAGCUGCCCCCACGCACAGCAGAUGUCCACCCCGCGCCACCCUCUGCCGCUGCAUCCCCCGGCACCUGCUGGCCACCAGCCAUCUGGACCCCCAAAGUCCCAGGGGACGAUGCUCAGCGCUGUCCACCCACCUCCGCCCCCACUGGGGGCCCCGUGGGACGUGUGGGGAUUUUCAGGGACCGACCACAUCCCCACGCAGCUCCGUGUCCCCAGGCAGGCACCCUGAGGCCACCACGGUUCUCCCCACCCUCCCUGCGGUGGCUGGGGCUGAGCCGCGCACCCCGCGCCAGCGGGAGCAUCCUCCCCAUCGCAUUAAGCAGCUUGCUGAUUAA